GCGCCCGUAGCUCAGUUGGAUAGAGCAACGGAUUUCUAAUCCGUUGGUCACUGGUUCGAAUCCAGUCGGGCGCA
rnacentral:tRNA from 1 species